ensembl:lncRNA
GUAAAAGUGAUAGACUGGAGGGCGGAACUAAUCUUGUGUCUGGGUUUCUGUCUGGGAGGAAAAAGAAGGUGAACUGGGGAACAACAGGAAGUUGCCACUUACGGGAAAACCCAGCAUAAUUCUUUCAACAAGUUGUCACCAACAUGGAUAGUGUGUUGAACUGAUGUAUCUACAAAGCCAGGGAGGCAGCCGGUUUUUCACCUAUGACUGACUAUGGCCGAAAAGAAGAUUAAAGGAAAAAAAAGGAAAACAAAAGAUCUGCCUGGUCAUUGAGUGAAACCCGGGAAAUUAAAAUCUGGGAGCGAUGACCUGGAGUCCUGGGAAAAGGGAAUAAUUAGUGCAAAGAGAAAAUUCGGAGAAUCCCUCAAAUUGCAUGUGCCAUUCCCAUUAGUAAAUAAACCCCAGUUGAGCACUGAGCAUACAAGAAUGGCAGACCAAGCUGCUGGGAAGUCAGUUGAACAGCUCAAAGGAGUGAGGACAACAGCUAAGAGAUCAUUCUCGCGUCUGGUUAAUAGCGUUACGAGGACGCAUGACGAUAUGACUGAAGGAGAACUCAAAGACAGUUUCAAUAGACUGACAACGGAAGCAGAGAAAGUCAUGGAGGCCAAUGAUGAUCUAGAGGCCGGUUUCAUUGCAGAGCUAGAGACAAAGCUUGACACAAGUGAAGCAGUUGUGCUGACAGAACAGCAGAAAGUCGACUUAGCAAAGACUGCAAGUGAAUGUGAGUUAAAACUGAAGGAAAUAAAAACUCUAGUCAGAGAGACUCUCUGGGCCAACUUUGGAAGUGCAGAAUUGUCCACAGCACUACAGGCAGCAGAGGCUGAGUGUGAACAUGUUGCUGCCAUUAAGCCUAACGGUAAUUAUGAAGUGUAUGAUCUCGUACUUGGCCACCUGAAAGAACUGGUGGGAGUGGCAAAGGAGAGCUAUAGCAAGUGGAAGCAUUGGAUCCCAUCGAGUGUCCGGAGGGACCUUCAAAGCAAUCUACAGAGGCUGGAACUCUGCAUCCCCAGGCUGGUUUCCAGAAAAGCUGACUUUCUGGAGAUGAGAAUAAAGGCGGAUGCUGAUCACCUGACGUCAUUGCCAGCUACCUCCAGCUGCCC